rnacentral:lncRNA from 1 species
GUGGCACUCAAAGUUCAAAGCUCAGGUGAACGGCGGUGCUAGGGCUACAGUGUGGAAGAUGAAGGGGCCAAUGGCUCGGGUGAAAUGGAAAGGAUGAAUUCCUCCGUUAUUUAUAACCACGACACAGUUACCUGAUAUGCGAAAUUAAUGGAGAAUAUUUCGUUUUCAAACGCCCAAAGUUAUUGCUUUUAGUUUCCAAUUUUUUUCAGAAAGAGAUAAGGUUACUGUUGACGAACAAUUACGUUGGCCAGUGGUUGACCCUUAUACCUAAACUAGUCGUGUAACGGCUCAGGGGCUGUGUGCCACAUGCCCAUCGGCUAAAAAGUUUUUUCUUUGGGUUUUAAGGGAAAAGGAGAUGUGAAAUUAUAAGAUUGACCCUCAGCCUGAUUCUUCAAUUCAACCUAAGGCUCGGGGGCUACUCCAUAUGGAGUGCGACUUUCGUCGCACUUCCAUAUAAGAUUCAAGACCAAGUUAAAU